rnacentral:tRNA from 1 species
CGAAGCUGUAAUUUAAUAAAAAUAUUAGCAUUGGAAGCUAAAAAUCAGGUAAAUAAUCCUGCUCUUCGA